CAUGGAGUAGUUCAGUUGGUAGAACGCCCAUUGCGAAUGGUCGGUCGUGGGUUCGAGCCCCACCUCCAUGGCCC
rnacentral:tRNA from 1 species